CGUAGGGUGCAAGCGUUAAUCGGAAUUACUGGGCGUAAAGCGUGCGCAGGCGGUUAUGUAAGACAGAGGUGAAAUCCCCGGGCUCAACCUGGGAACUGCCUUUGUGACUGCAUAGCUAGAGUCCGGCAGAGGGGGAUGGAAUUCCGCGUGUAGCAGUGAAAUGCGUAGAUAUGCGGAGGAACACCGAUGGCGAAGGCAAUCCCCUGGGCCUGUACUGACGCUCAUGCACGAAAGCGUGGGGAGCAAACAGGAUUAGAUACCCUGGUAGUCCACGCCCUAAACGAUGUCAACUGGUUGUUGGGUCUUCACUGACUCAGUAACGAAGCUAACGCGUGAAGUUGACCGCCUGGGGAGUACGGCCGCAAGGUUG
rnacentral:rRNA from 1 species